UCCAUCCCCAGUACUCCUGUGCCACUGUAGAUUUCUCAAGGAUAGAGGUGCUGGAAAGAAUAAAUACAGUAACAACAUCUCUUAUUAAUUGCUUUAAAGCUCCAAAGUACUUCAUAAAUACUCCCUCACUUGAUUCUCAAACACACUGGUGAGAGGCCUGUUAUUACACAUGAAUGAAAACUGGCGAGCUUUUGUGCAAAAGGGACAGCCCGUGUAGGAACUUGCGUGUGUCCAGGCGGGGCUGUGUGAAGUACUGUGACCCUGACAGGAACCACACCAUGCUGAUGUUGCCAGAUGCAGGGAAACUGCUAGAAAUGGAAAUGCUCCUUCAAUCGUAGUGCCACACUGCCUUGGAGCCAGCCGAUCAUGGACUGAAA